AUGUUUUAUAUAAACCUGGUUUUAAACAGGAUUUUGAAAAACAGCUGCAUUCAAUUCUAACUUAAAUAGAAGCAUUUGCUCUAAAUAUGUGAAUGUUAAUAUAUAAAUAUAUAUUGUUUUAUAUUAAUAAUAAUUAUUAGUUAUUAGCUAUUUUAUUUUAAUUUGUAAUGUUCAUUUAUAUUAUAUUUGUAUACUUAAUUUGAAAGUCUCGUUCUUUUGCUCUUGAUCUUGUUUAGCAUAUUCUUCUCUGUGGUUUCAGUCUCAUUUAUAAGGCUCAGUUCCUCUAAAUAAGGUAGACUAGGAAUAGACUUUAUGUGGUGUACCACUUAACAGCCAGUAGUAACAAAGAAUGAUUAUGAAGCAUUUUGCAUCAGUUCUAGUGUGAUUGUAAGGUUAAUUUUUCUUCUCCCGAUGUAGUUUGGCAAAGCGCUGCUCUUUGUUUUGAAGGCCUCAGACAUGUAACUUAGCACAAUAGAGAGUAUGUUAGCUUUAAUGGUCUUUAUAAUAACACAAUGUUACUGUAAAUGGAAAACCGAAUGUUUGUAUAACCUCUGAAAACUAUUUAUUGAUAGCUAUUAUGCGAACAAGUUGUAUAUAAAAAGGAACAGCGGUCACGAACGGAAAUAAGACAAACAAGGCAUUAAAAAAAAAAAACCAUGUAAAAUCACUAGCGGCCUGCUACAUUCGUGGUUUAUCUAAAAAUAUGUUGUUUUUUAAUUAAAAAAAAAAAGUGUUUUAUGUCUCAUCCAACAGAAACGAAAGACACUUUAUCAUGGCGGCAGCAGAUAAACGACAUGUGCUGGAGGAGGAUGAGGAUGAGGAGAAGCGAAAGUCAGAGAAAAUGACGUUAUUGCAACACAAGAAAGUUAAAAAAUGCAAGGUGGACAUUCAAACGAAAAAUAAAAUGCUGGAAGUACCUGAGUGAGACCUUUUUUGUUUUUCGCAGGAUGGCGCGGGAGACUCCCGAUGGGGUAAAGUACAACUGUACGACAACCGAAAAAUACAAAAAAAAACAGCAGGGAGGAAGAAAGAAGAGGAGAGACCCUUUCCAUGUCGCUCACAAGACAAGGGGAAAAGCAGAGAGAGGUGUGCGAUCGAACAGCCCUCCUCACACGAGCCCCUGCCAAUGCUGAGCAGAUUCAGCUAUGCCCUCCUAUUCGCCUGCCCACUUCAGCACCGCUGCCAAAAGAGCGAGAACGAGCGGGAGAAAGAAGGAGAGAGAGGUCACAACACCAUGAGAAAGGAAAAGAAAACAAGGCGGCGACUUUUGCUGCCACCUUUCACCGUUCAUCUGUUGUUGUUGGGUUAGCAGUCAUUCCUCCAUGUUUAUUACCUCUAUGGGAGUUGGCACGAAAUGCUGAACACCGUCACCUGGCUCGGGCCCGAAAGCAGGAGUGGAACCUGGUCCAAAACCAAGCGAAAUAAGCAAAUCUCAACCUAUCCCUCAUUGCUCAGACGUCGAUAUCAGGGCUCCAUUCCACCUUUAACAACUCUCUGCUACCUGUGACCCCAUCUGACAGCGCUGUAGAUGGCAAAUUGGCUCUGAUAGACCGAUAGUCUUGCCUUUUUCUGGGAGACUUUGCCAAAUGGCCCCAACUGCCUUAAUGACACAUAAUGGCUGGAGCUGAAGGACGGCUGCUGGGGAAACGUCCUAGGUGCGUUACUCGAGCGCUGGGGGGACGCUGCAGGGUCUAAUCGCCUGCUCGGCGCCAGCAGCUGAAGGACGCUGCCUCUCCCACAGGAGCUAUUAGAGUCCCAGAGUCCCACCACACUGAUGUCAUCCUGUGUAACGGAACGCUGAAGCCGCAAAGAGAACCAAAGUUCUGCUCACUUCCCCCAUCUGUAUGCAGUGACAUUAAUGUAAAAUAUGGAUUUAAUGAAAGCCACUUCUUGCUAUACCGUCAGAGGUUUUUCACCUUCUUUGCAAGUGUAUGAUUGGACAGGAGUGAUUCCUUUCAAAGCAAUCCUUGCACAUUUUUGCACUUAAAAUAACUGGGGGAAAAAAACUUUGCAGGACAUUUCAGCUGGAAUUUCUGUGGUUAUAUUGUUUGUGCAAGACCUGUCCUGAUAUGACAUUGUAAUGGAUUUGAUUCUGCGGUCUUUAGUGCCCUUGUUAGCUCACCUGCCUCCCAUGCCGGUUCGAAUCUCGAGUUGGACCAGUUACAUUGGUGCCGUGACCCGGAUGGGAGUGAGGUUUAGGGGGGUGAGUGUAACGGAGGCCAGCUAGUAAGAGCUGUGCAGAUAAACCUCACUCCUCUUGCCUCAAGAGGCGCACUAGCGACUGACGCUAGAGACUGCUGUCUUUAGCCUCCUUGUUAGUGCACCCCCCUCCCAUGCCGGAGACCUGGGUUCGAGGCCAGGACGGAGCGGGGCGAGUAGGACCUGAGGGGUUACAGAUAGAUAGAUAGAUGUUGCUAGGGGUUGCUAGGGUGUUCAGGCCAUUGCUAGAUGGUUGCUAGGGUGUUCAGGGCAUUGCUAGGAUGUUCUAGACAUUGUUUUGUGGUUGCUAGAGUGUUCUGGGAGGUCUGUUUGGUUUAUUAUUCUUUCUUCAAUAUGUCUAGUGAAGGUUUUUGCUCAUUUUUACAAAAUUAUCUAAUAUAAUCUAAUAUAUCUAAUAAAUUAAGUUUGAUCACUCGGAAAAGUUAUAACACACCUCUCCUGAAGAAGUUGCAUGAUUUUAGGUAACACUCUGUAGCAUACGCACUUUUUAAGUAGAUCAUGUUUCAGUGCAACUCUUGAAGCAUACUUCAGUUUAAGACACUACAUGUACAUGUACCAUUUAUGCAUAAUUCAUCAGCAUGAGCAUAAGAAACAGCACCUGAACAAGCUCUAAUAUCCACACUAACAAUCUUGCAUUACAGAUCAUGUUUCUAUUUUUCUUUCGGUGUGAUGUCAGAGGUUCUUGAGGGCAUUAUCACAUGAUCUUUAGGAGUCGUUCUGGGUAAUCAGUCCCUGACAAAACCGCACAAGUUUGAGUUAACUGUUCAUUGACCAGCUGGUGACAAUUUGGCAUAGUUAUCGCAUUGCACGAAAAAACAAAGGAUGAAACGUUUUUUAGUUGCAUUAGUCACUAAAAGAUGAUUAAGCAUUAACCUAAUUAUGUUUUCUAUGGUAAGCAUUACGGUGCUGUUGCUUACAUUUUCUGGAAAAAACAACAAAGCAAAACACAUUAGCAACACCUGGCAUCAUGCAUCAAGGAAAACACUGCAAAUAUUUCAACAGAACCUCAAAAUCUGUUUUCGCUAUAAUUACUAUGCAUUUUUGCUUUUCAGAAAAGAUCAUUUUGAAACACACACACACACACACUGUAAAUUUAAAUUCCUCAAACGUCUUCUAACAUACUGUCACAUGAGAAUGUCACUGGAUCAGUUUUGCCUGUAAGUACACUUUAGCCAAAGUCAAUAUAUUAAUGGAGAAAUCUGAUCUUUGGUCCUGUUUACACCUAAUAUUAAAGGGAUAGUCCCUUUCUGUCAUUAAUUACCCUCAUGUCGUUCCACACCCAUAAGAUCUUCGUUCAUCUUCGGAACACAAAUGAAGAUAUUUUUGAUGAAAUCAGAGAGAUCUCUGACUCCUCCAUAGACAGCAAUUAAAUUAAAGACAUUGUUAAAAUAGUCUACGUGACUACAGUGGUUCAACCUUAAUGUUAUGAAGCGACGAGAAUACUUUUUGUGCGCAAAAACAAAAAAAUAACUUUAUAUGAUAUCAUAAGGGAUGAGACAGAAAACAUUAGAAACUGCAUAGCAAUACAUUAAAAUACUCUGAAAACCUUAGCAGCUGCACCCUGCAAUUAGCAACACCCUGGCAACCACUUAGAACACUUUAAUAACCACAGCAACAUAGUAAGACCGCUCAAAACACCCUGGCAAGUACUCAAACAUUGGAACUGUAUAUCAGCACACUACAAUACUUUAGUAACUGCAUUGCAAUUAAUUACCACAUAGCAACAUGCUAAAACCACUCAGAACACCACAAAGAAAAGCCCUGGCAAAUGCUCAGAAUACCAAUGGAACCACAUAGCAACAUGCUAGAAUACCUUAGCAACUGCUUUGCAACACCCUGGUAACCAUACAAUGCAUGAGAGUAACAUUAGCCACAUGUUAAAAAACACUCAGGACUUAGCAGCUGCAUAGCAACGCCCUGGUAACCACUCAGAACAUUCUAGUAACUCCAUAGCAACACACUAAGAACACUCAGAACCACCACAAAUUGCUCAAACCCUGGCAAUUGCUCAGAAUACCAUAGGCGUGCUAGAGCAACACACUAGUAUACCUUUGCAAGUGUAUAGAAAUGCCUUGGUAUGGUAACCACCCAGAACAUCUUAGUAACGGCAUAGCAACAAGCUAAAAUGCUCAGAAUACCCUAGAAACUGCAUAGCAACACACUAUACCUUAGCAACUGCAUAGCAAUGCCCUGGCAACCACCCGUAACACUUUAUUCACCACAAAGCUAUAUGGUAAAAGAGGGGGAUUUGCACAGGCAAGUACCACAGUUUAAAACCUUUCCUUCCUAUACUGUUAUUCCGCAUUAUGGCAAGGGCGAUUGCAUCAUGGGAACUUGUUUACUGUGAAAAGAGGUCAGCAGGACACUUUCAUACUGUAUUUUCCUCUGUGUUCAUCUGAUGUGGUAUCCUUGACUUACCGCAUUUGUUUUACAGUGAGGCAGUAUCCUGUCGCCUUUGUUUAGUUUGAGUCACAUUCAGCACACACACACACACACACGCACACACACACACACACACGCACACACACACACACACACACACACAUCCCUCAGGAGCAUGUGCUCUCCUCUGACCCACAUCUCCAUGGGUUGGCCUCAUUGUUUGUGGUUGUGAAGACAGGAUGGUGAGUGUGUGUGAGUAAUAAACCCACUGGUGUGAGGUCAUGUCCUUAAGUCACACAGUUGCAGCUGUGUGUACGCCAUAUUUCUGCUUCUGUAUUAUUUAAUCUUAUCAGUUUCAGUGUAUUAAAUAUCUUAUAUAACUUAAACAAAUAAAUACUAUAAUCAUUGUUGGUCUGUAAAUACGAAAAUGUAUUUUAAAGAGGAGCAUUUCAGUGUUCCAGUUUCAUAUAUAAAUUGGUGUUUCCCAAACCUGUUUCUGGAGGCACACCAACAGUACACAUUUUGGAUGUGUCCCUUACCUGAGUCUCUUCUAAUGAGCUGAUGAGUUGAAUCAGGUGUGUUUGAUUAGGAAGAGUUUGAAAAAGUGUAGUGUUUGUGUGCCUCCGGGAACAGGGUUGGGAAACACCGAUCUGUUACUGUACAGUUACAUAAUAAACUGUCUCUUUAAGAUCUCGA